rnacentral:antisense_RNA from 1 species
GCCUUCGCCAGUGUGGGAGCCUCGUCUCACUGGAGAGUCCGUUCAGGCUCUGCCACUAUUUCCCAUUGGCCAAACGCUACUGGAAGUGGAAGGCUAAGAAGCCCGCUGGUGCAAUCCAUACAGGUCAGCCUCUGGGGCCAGAGUGGGAUGAAAAAAGGCUCAUGAUGGAGCCCGAGUUAUUUGGCAGGAGGUGAUUUCCACAGUCUGUGAACACCGAAGAUGAGACUGGCUUGGGGCCACAUGCCAAACUGCACAGCCAGUAAGACCUGCUUCCAUCGACCCACAGCAGCUCUGACUUUUUUUUUUUUUUUUUUUUUUUUUUUUUUUUUUUAUACUUUAAGUUUACCUGACUUUUUUUUUUUAACAAUAGAGAAGAAACUACCACAGGGAAGAGAGAGAACAAUGGCAUUUUGACAAAUGGAACAAAGAUAGAGUGUGACUGACAAUUCAGGUCAGAAGGAAAAUUAAAGCACAGGAAGACUGAUGUUGGUCGGCCUCCUUGCCAAGAAGCAAAAACUCGGGGGAGGCAUCCAGCCACAUGCGAACUGGCUCAACACUGGCCAUUUUGUUUGAGCAAUUUUGUUGGAUGUUUUCUACAAAAGAACACUUUUUCUCGGACUUCAAACAUUCUUUUAUGCAGGAUUGACACCACACACUGCCAUCAUCCCCUGGAGUAGUAUCCUUGAGACCUGAGGAGGGGAAAACUGGAGGGAGAUUGUGGGACUCCACUGAGAAAUGUGGUCCUUUGUCUCCCUGGAGAUCUUUGAGGAUGGUUCAGAUAAAGUUGCUGCCAGUGGAAGCAGCUAGGCUCAGAAACCUCCAGUUGCCCUUUCUAGACUUGUAAUCCUCUGAAAAAUGGAAAUUAGGAAGCGUUCAUUUAUGACCUUGAAAAAAAUCGUUUACAAAAGUAUAUUAUAUCACUAAAAUGAGCUGGAAAAAGGGUUUAUGUGAAAGUUCAUGUGAGAAACACAGCUAUUAGCACGCAUGCCAUUCCCCACCUUGACCUCAGCAGGAAUGUGUAAAUUGUAACAUAUGGAAUGUAAGCCCUGUCGAGAUGUUUCAUAAAUCUGCCUGGCAAUGAGCAUCACAAGGCCCUGCAUGAGAACAGGCCCCAGAAAUGGAGAGACAAAUAAAGAAACAUCAGAAAUAUUAAAACCAGGACCAAAAGGAGGCCCAGAGAUGGGGUUUCACCGUGUUAGCCAGGAUAGUCUCAAUCUCCUGACCUCAUGAUCCGCCUGCCUUGGCCUCCCAAAGUGCUGGGAUUACAGGUGUGAGCCACCAUGCCCGGCCAAAUUUUCAAAUAAAUAA